rnacentral:rRNA from 1 species
CCUACGGGAGGCAGCAGUGAGGAAUAUUGGUCAAUGGCCGGAAGGCUGAACCAGCCAUGCCGCGUGAAGGUCAGUGCCCUAUGGGCGUUAAACUUCUUUUGUGCGGGAGCAAUAAUGGUCACGUGUGGCCAGACGAGAGUACCGUACGAAUAAGCAUCGGCUAACUCCGUGCCAGCAGCCGCGGUAAUACGGGGGAUGCAAGCGUUAUCCGGAUUUAGUGGGUUUAAAGGGUGCGUAGGCUGUGAGGUAAGUCCACGGGGAAAUUCCCCGGCUCAACGGGGUGAAGGGCCAUUGAUACUGCCAUGCUGGAGUGCGGAUGCGGUGGGAGGAAUGUGUGGUGUAGCGGUGAAAUGCGUAGAUAUCACACAGAACACCGAUUGCGAAGGCGUCUAACGAGUACGCGAUUGACGCUGAUGCGCGAAAGCGUGGGUAUCAAACAGGAUUAGAUACCCUAGUAGUC